AUCGCUUCUCAGCCUCUUGGCUAAGAUCAAGUGUACUAUGUUGUGUGAUAUUAUUCUCAAUUAUUUAUAGAGGUCAUAAUCCCAUUUGGCUUGACAGCACCAUUUUUAGUGACAUGGAUUUACUGAAUUUUUCCAAAUAAGUUUAGUAUUC
rnacentral:snRNA from 2 species